GAUGAACGCUAGCUACAGGCUUAACACAUGCAAGUCGAGGGGCAGCAUGGUCUUAGCUUGCUAAGGCCGAUGGCGGCCGGCGCACGGGUGAGUAACACGUAUCCAACCUGCCGUCUACUCUUGGACAGCCUUCUGAAAGGAAGAUUAAUACAAGAUGGCAUCAUGAGUUCACAUGUUCACAUGAUUAAAGGUAUUCCGGUAGACGAUGGGGAUGCGUUCCAUUAGAUAGUAGGCGGGGUAACGGCCCACCUAGUCUUCGAUGGAUAGGGGUUCUGAGAGGAAGGUCCCCCACAUUGGAACUGAGACACGGUCCAAACUCCUACGGGAGGCAGCAGUGAGGAAUAUUGGUCAAUGGGCGAGAGCCUGAACCAGCCAAGUAGCGUGAAGGAUGACUGCCCUAUGGGUUGUAAACUUCUUUUAGAAAGGAAUAAAGUCGGGUAUGUAUACCCGUUUGCAUGUACUUUAUGAAUAAGGAUCGGCUAACUCCGUG
rnacentral:rRNA from 1 species